GACGGAGGGGGCAAGCGUUGUCCGGACUCACUGGGCGUAAAGGGUGCGUAGGCGGUCUUGUGCGUCGGCGCUGAAAUCCCACGGCUCAACCGUGUGGCGCGUGCCGAUACGACGAGACUUGAGGCUCUGAGAGGGUGGCGGAACUCCUGGUGUAGUGGUGAAAUGCGUAGAGAUCAGGAAGAACACCCGUGGCGCAAGCGGCCACCUGGCAGAGUUCUGACGCUGAGGCACGAAAGCGUGGGGAGCGAACCGG
rnacentral:rRNA from 1 species